AGUGACUUGUCUAUCUUUCUUCUCUACCCUCCCGGGGGGCUGUGAGCUGGAGACUGGAGCCUCACCUCUUCCUGCCAGACGUGACGUGAACUGUCCUUUCUUGUGGUGAAGAGAAAUGAACGCGAUCUGAAUUCAAACUCAGGACCCUGGCACACCUUGGAGUGAGUAAGCAACCUGUUUCAGUCUCCUCAUGUCUAAGCAUGACCCGCCUGGAACAAUCCAUGGCAAAAGAGGGGCACCUAGCAAUCGCUCGCUACUCAUGGAAACUUCAGUUGACUUGCUGGAAAGACAGUCUCUUUCUCUCAGGAUACUUUGUGCAGCACCAGUAAAUGUCUGAGGAAUGAAUAAGAGAGCGUGUGCAUGCUCUGAAGUCUGGACAACCACCUAUUUUCAGUUUGAAAACAUAACAGAGUUCUCGGGACUUGAAAUGUUUACCUUAGACUUGCCAGAAGCUUCUCUCUUGCCUGUUGACCGUGCAUCUCCAUUGUGUCCCGGAUGCCAAUGCUGUUGUCAGGUUUCUGUCCCUGGGAAACAAAGGUCCUGAAUCGCCCAUAUGACUUGUCAAAGAGUCCCAGACCAGCGCGCGGUCAGAUGCGCCGUGACUUGUGGUGGCAAACGAAGCUCUGUUCUAGACACACCAUUACCUCAGCGCUAUCAGGAGGAGGCCACGGAAUGACUGGCGCGGGAGCGC
rnacentral:lncRNA from 1 species